AUAUCCUCAGGUCAAUAGUAGCUGAAGGCUAUAUCACAAUGCCUAUGUUAUUCACCUCAUUUCAUCUCACCACAUCAUCACGAGAAGGGAGCCAAUCCAGGCUUAGUCUUCUCUGUGAGUUUCUCUUUUCUUGUUUUUCGUGACCUUGACAGUUUGAGGGGUGAUCAGAUCUGGGAGGUCCACCUCCUCCAGUCCUCAGACAUUGGAGCUCCUGGUUCUUGGGCCUUCAGACUCUGGGAUUUAC